rnacentral:siRNA from 1 species
GUGUACCUAACUAAACCUGACUA